AAGCGAAGCAGCGAUGUGAAGCAAAUCGCACCAAAGCCGGUCCCAGUUCGGAUAAGAGGCUGAAACUCGCCUCUUUGAAGUCGGAAUCGCUAGUAAUCGCAGAUCAGCACGUUGCGGUGAAUACGUUUCCUGGUCUUGUACACACCGCCCGUCAAACCAUGAGAGUCGCCAACACCCGAAGUCCGCUUUGCGGCCUAAGGUGGGGAGAUGAUUGGGGUUAAGUCGUAACAAGGUAAC
rnacentral:rRNA from 1 species